CGUGUAGGCGGCUUUUUAAGUUAGGCGUGAAAUCUCUGGGCUUAACCCAGAAAUUGCGUUUAAAACUGGAAGGCUUGAGGAUCGGAGAGGGCAGUGGAAUUCCCAGUGUAGCGGUGAAAUGCGUAGAUAUUGGGAGGAACACCAGUGGCGAAGGCGACUGCCUGGACGACACCUGACGCUGAGGCGCGAAAGCCAGGGGAGCAAACGGGAUUAGAUACCCCGGUAGUCCUGGCCGUAAACGAUGGGUACUAGGUGUGGGAGGUAUCGACCCCUUCCGUGCCGCAGUUAACACAAUAAGUACCCCGCCUGGGGAGUACGGCCGCAAGGUUGAA
rnacentral:rRNA from 1 species